CUUCUUGGUCAUUUAGAGGAAGUAAAAGUCGUAUCAAGGUCUCCGUAGGUGAACCUGCGGAGGGAUCAUUACACAAAUAUGAAGGCGGGCUGGAACCUCUCGGGGUUACAGCCUUGCUGAAUUAUUCACCCUUGUCUUUUGCGUACUUCUUGUUUCCUUGGUGGGUUCGCCCACCACUAGGACAAACAUAAACCUUUUGUAAUUGCAAUCAGCGUCAGUAACAAAUUAAUAAUUACAACUUUCAACAACGGAUCUCUUGGUUCUGGCAUCGAUGAAGAACGCAGCGAAAUGCGAUAAGUAGUGUGAAUUGCAGAAUUCAGUGAAUCAUCGAAUCUUUGAACGCACAUUGCGCCCUUUGGUAUUCCAAAGGGCAUGCCUGUUCGAGCGUCAUUUGUACCCUCAAGCUUUGCUUGGUGUUGGGCGUCUUGUCUCUAGCUUUGCUGGAGACUCGCCUUAAAGUAAUUGGCAGCCGGCCUACUGGUUUCGGAGCGCAGCACAAGUCGCACUCUCUAUCAGCAAAGGUCUAGCAUCCAUUAAGCCUUUUUUUCAACUUUUGACCUCGGAUCAGGUAGGGAUACCCGCUGAACUUAAGCAUAUCAAUAAGCGGAGGA
rnacentral:rRNA from 1 species